UGAAUUCGGGAGCUAGCCUUAUAAUGUUUUUGAAACCAUCAGUUUGGAUAUAUUGCAUUAUAUUUCACUAUUAUAUUCAAGUUUAGAUUCUGUUUUAACAGUGAGUUCGUGAGCUAACCUGAUCAAGUUUUUAUCUCCACUUGUAGGCAUCGGUUAGUGAGAACUAUGGUGGCAGCUUUUGUAUAGCCUCUGUGAUGGAGUGAUGCGUGGCAUGCCUUCUUUGCCAAGUAAAAGUCUCAGGUGCUCUACGGCAACAAGUCCGGGUUCUGUUUUCUCACUUGCUCCACUUGUAAUUGGAUAUAGUUGCAAAGGACCUCUGGUAUAAGAAGUCACACCUGGUCUACCAGAGGAUCAUGCAAUUUUUUAUCGGUAUAACAUGAAGUUAGCAGAGCCCCGUUAUCUUUGACGUCCUCUCUUCCAAGAUAGUGGCUUCGGUCAUGCAGGUGAGCACUAAUUCAUUCUACACUAGGAAUCUUGCUUUUGAAUUUCCAGAAGUAUGACUAGUUUAUUCAUGAGCAUUUAAUGAAAAUGUGAACACUCUAUAUUAGCUUUCUUGCUAUUGACUUCCCUGUCAAUUCACUUAUUGAACAUGUAUGUUCGAUUUCUCUUCUUCCCUUCCUCGUAUGGCUCGAAAAGACCUAGAUCUGUCAUUACCUUUAUGAUUCUUCCUGUUAAGAUUUCUGAAGCUCUCAAGUAUGUCCUUUUUUGUUGAGGAUUUUGUAAACUUCUACGGAUUGUAAUGCAAGAUCGGAUAGAGACGGUUGUUUGUAAUCCACUCCCAUUUGUCAAAUUCUGUGUCUUCAUUUCAUUUUCAUAUGUUACUUCAAGUACUUACAUCUUUCACCAAUUCCUUUUUUAUGCUUCAAAACAAAGUUGAAAUCCUAAUCAUACAGAGUGGGGGGUAUAUAUUGGGUCUGAAAGAUGUCUCCCCAGGUUAAGCUGACAGAGCUGGAGAUCAUGGUAGGUAGGUACCUGUGUGUUUUGAGUGUGUUGCUUCCAAUUCUUGUAGGUACAUUUGUCUUUCCUCUUUGCUUGAAGUCACAUAUGACUCUAUUUCUCUUUGAUUGUGAAAUAAUAAUUUGUAUGAUUCUCCUGCAGAUUUGCAGGCAAAAAUAAUAUGAUUUGUUAGGUAUCUGGAAGUUUUUAGUUGAUACUUGAGGCAGAUUAGCUACUUCCUUCAAUGUAUCGGGCACCUUUGGAAUGCUCUCAUUUAAAUCUGCUGUAUCUGAAUAUUGCCUGCUGUUAUUGCCCUACACUUUCUAUUUCAUUCUGAUACAAUCGGAUGAUUAUUGUAGUUAGUCUGACUGCUGUCUCUUUUCUCUUAGGUGGUUGCUUUCAGCGUUGGAUGCACAUACGUGCACCUGACGGAUGGUGAAGGAUCUGAGAUUUUUUUUACGGGAGUUUAAACCCUCUAUUCACACACUGACUGCUACUGAAGACCGUAUCUCUGUCACUUUGUAAAGCAAUAAAAUGGGUCGAUGAGGUGAAAAAGGUGUUCUCUUUAAAAUAUUAGCUUUGUGAACUAAUAUCUGGAAGUAUGAAGCGUUCUUGCUAAACAAUAAAAAGUCUUAAGUUCAUCAGCAACUGGGAUUGGAUCCUUUGUGCGACACUACUUUUACACAGGCUGGUUUCUGUAGGUUUGCUGAGCGUAGGUGUAAACCAUUUGUUACAAUAACAAAACUUGAAAACGCAAAUUGGAUCUUUCAAAGGUAUAAUAAAUUAACGAUAAACUUCAAGAUUAGUUGGAAAAUCAUUCAGGAAAGGAAAGAAUGAGAGAAUUAAGUACUACUCGUACUAUUAAGUAUGAGACGUUUAAUUUUGUUCUUUUUCGUUGAGUGGAACAAAGCACCGUCAAUUUCAU
rnacentral:lncRNA from 1 species